GGAAUCAGAGUGGUAUACUUCAUUGCCUGAACCUAGCUUGUAGUUAUUCAGAGUGGUAUACUUCAUUGCCUGAACCUAGCUUGUAGUUAUUCAGUAAAGGCUAAUGAUACUAUCACCCCAGUGGUGCUAUCAGGUUCUGGAUAUUUCUCAAAUGGUCACACUGCCUGGCGAACAAUCCGACGAAGGGUAUAACUACUCUGAUAUCACGACUGCAUUCUGCAGCUCAAGCUUUUCAAAGUUACAAUGGUGCACCUGUGUGCUAUAUCUCUGCUGGCUACCGUCUUGAUGACUGGAAUGGGCGUGCGCGGCGAUUCGUUCCUAGGCUCAGAACAGACGUGCAACUUCGACCUUCCAUUUCGUGAGAACCUCGUAUCUUACUCUCUCAUGUACUACACAACACCUGAAGCUCAUAGUACGAAGGCAAAGGUCGUUAUCACUGCGAGGAAUCCAUACGAAAUAGAAUUUGCACCUCGCCGUUCCUGUGCCAUGACAAUGGCGAUCUUAGCAUUUUCUAUCUACAAGAAAAGCAAAUGCCUCAUCGAAUACACCAUUCGACGUGACAACGAUACAUAUAUCUACAGAGAGUCAACGGAAAAUAUAUCGUGGCUUCGUAGAUGUAUGGGAAGUGACGAAUGUGUCCACACAUUAACUUUGGAUGUCUUUCCGAAACGCCUUCGAAAUCAGCAACAAGGAAUAUCUGUUCUAACAGUUUCCGUUAUUAAUACAAGCACUGGGUACUGCUGGCUGUCGGGUCGUUCCGAUGGCGUUCAUUCUACCAAUGAUCCAACACCUACUUUUUAUCUCACUAUGAACAGGACAUCUGAGUCAACAUCUUCAACCUGGUCUUCACCCCAGCAACCAGCGUCGCCGAUACUCAGAAAAAUAGUGCCAUCCCCUGAAUCCCAGAUACCGACAUCUCUGAAAAUCACCGAGUCUCCGAACA